rnacentral:rRNA from 1 species
AGAGAUGGAUUGGUUCCCUUUGGAAGUCAAACACACGUGCUGCACAGNGUAAUCAGAUCGUGUUUUGAGAUGUUGGGGUAAAUCCCGUAAAGAGCGCAACCCCUUUCCUUAGUUACCCGCACGUUAUGGUGGGCACUCUAAGGAGACUGCCGGUGACAAACCGGAGGAAGGUGGGGAUGACGUCAAGUCAUCAUGGCCCUUACGGCCUGGGCUACACACGUGCUACAAUGGUAGGUACAGAGGGUUGCCAAGCCGCGAGGUGGAGCUAAUCUCACAAAACUGAUCGUAGUUCGGAUCGCAGUCUGCAACUCGCCUGCGUGAAGUCGGAAUCGCUAGUAAUCGCGAAUCAGAAUGUCGCGGUGAAUACGUUCCCGGGCCUUGUACACCACCGCCCGUCACACCCAAAAGGAAGUGGGUUGCAACCCAGAAUAUCCCCUUGGUCUAAACCNAUUUUUGAAACCCAGCGGA